rnacentral:rRNA from 1 species
GAUGAACGCUGGCGGCGUGCCUAAUACAUGCAAGUCGAGCGAACAGACGAGGAGCUUGCUCCUCUGACGUUAGCGGCGGACGGGUGAGUAACACGUGGAUAACCUACCUAUAAGACUGGGAUAACUUCGGGAAACCGGAGCUAAUACCGGAUAAUAUAUUGAACCGCAUGGUUCAAUAGUGAAAGACGGUUUUGCUGUCACUUAUAGAUGGAUCCGCGCCGCAUUAGCUAGUUGGUAAGGUAACGGCUUACCAAGGCAACGAUGCGUAGCCGACCUGAGAGGGUGAUCGGCCACACUGGAACUGAGACACGGUCCAGACUCCUACGGGAGGCAGCAGUAGGGAAUCUUCCGCAAGGGGCGAAAGCCUGACGGAGCAACGCCGCGUGAGUGAUGAAGGUCUUCGGAUCGUAAAACUCUGUUAUUAGGGAAGAACAAAUGUGUAAGUAACUAUGCACGUCUUGACGGGACCUAAUCAGAAAGCCACGGCUAACUACGU